AGGUGGCAAGGAGAGACAGGUAUCAUGGAGGAAACUUCAGAGAUCAUGCAGAUUUCAGUAGUAGAUUUCUUAUUCUGUUUGGCAGAAAUGUCUGCUUUGCAGAGUUGAUUCAAAGUGCUAUUGAAUUCUCCCUCAACCCCUGCCAGAACAUGAGAGCCACAUUGGCCGUGCUGGAGAAAGGCAUAAAAUGCCUUCUAUUCUAAGUACAUAUGGACCCCUGGCAACUGCAGAGGUAAUCAUUAACUCUGACUUCCCUUUGUUCUCCUGCCAGCUUGCUAAGUGCGUAACUGUGCUUGUGGCAGUCAGGGGGUUCUGACCCACUCAUACUAAAAGAUGUAGUGGAGAACGAAAGAGGUCACGGACUAAGCCUCUCCAUGAAAUGGAGAGCAACACUUGUGCUGCAGCAACCUUGUAAUGUGAAAGAUCAUCCUGAGGACUUCAGGUGUGUGAAGACCCGUUUGAAGAAACAAAGGAAAGUGCCAGGUGUUGUUUUUGAGAUGGAAAUGCACUCAGCAGCAGGUAGAAGCCCAGACAUCCUUGUUCUACAGGGACGUGGAAUUCUGUGUGCUGGUGAGAUGAGAAUAGCUGGAUUACGCCUGGGAUUUUGCUGUAGAUUUCCUUUCCAGAUGUGCUGCUUUGCUGAGGCAAACAGACUUUGGGAGGAGUGCUGGACAAUGUGGGAAGAUCUCCAUCUUAACUCUGUAUGAGAGCAAGAGGGCAAAAAGAAUGAAAUGAAGCAGAAAAAGAAUCUCCUCUAACUCAGAAGUCACCUGAAUUGCAAGAGCUGCACUUCUGCUUUCACUCUGCCGUGGAUUUGCGUUGUCUGAUGCCAGAGACAGGAGUCCUGACACUCACCAGCCUGCCUUGGAGAAGAGUAGACAGUUUGUACCUCAGAAACCACUGGCCCUGAAAGAAUAGGUACAUUAAAUAUUAGCAGUUCCCAGCCCUCACCCUGGCCUAGCUGUCAGCGAGUUCAUUUGCUUGUCUGGAGGGACCACAGGAAUGUAGGAGUCAAGGGGAAAUAUCACAAGAGUGAUGGACUGUGAGGCUCCCAGGUUCCCUCUGCCAUUGCAGAGCUCUUCGACCUAUUGUAAUCGUCACCAGACAAAAUGAGUCUUUUUCCUUCCAGACAGAUUGGAGGCAAAGGACAGUGCUUUAGAGUCAAUGUUACAUUUAAGAAACAACAUGCAAUUCAAACCUUGUAAUUAUCAUGAUUUUUCAGACUGGCAGUGAAGAUGGGAGCAAGAAGGCAGCAGUGAACCUGGGAGAAAGGAGAGACUUUUUUUCAUUUUUUUCAGCUUCUAUUUCUUCCCCACUGACAAAAGAAAGAAAAUAAGGACUUUCAUGGAAAACUAAAUUAAGGUGAAGGCUGAUAUCUUAAUAGGCUCUGCCUAGAUCUGUGCAUCUCAAUUCUUGAUGGGCCUCCAGUUUGUUCCUGUACUGAUUGCUGUCCUCGGUGCUGCAGUUUUUUGAGGUGAUCCCUUCCUUGUCGUGUGAAGCUUUCCCAGCCUGAUUUUAAGUCUGGUCAGGUUCCUCCUGCUUCCUCCCAUUCUGGUGGAGAGCAGAGAGCUGGAGCACUUACCCAGGCACUGCGUAUAAUCCCACAGACAGG
ensembl:lncRNA